rnacentral:hammerhead_ribozyme from 1 species
AUCCAGCUGACAAGUCCCAAAUAGGACAAAAUGCUCGUCUUGUAU